AGAGUUUGAUCCUGGCUCAGAUUGAACGCUGGCGGCAGGCCUAACACAUGCAAGUCGAACGGUAACAGAUCCAGCUUGCUGGAUGCUGACGAGUGGCGGACGGGUGAGUAACGCGUAGGAAUCUACCCAGUAGUGGGGGACAACUUGGGGAAACCCAAGCUAAUACCGCAUACGCCCUACGGGGGAAAGCGGGGGACCUUCGGGCCUCGCGCUAUUGGAUGAGCCUGCGUUAGAUUAGCUUGUUGGUGGGGUAAAGGCUCACCAAGGCGACGAUCUAUAGCUGGUCUGAGAGGAUGAUCAGCCACACUGGAACUGAGACACGGUCCAGACUCCUACGGGAGGCAGCAGUGGGGAAUAUUGCGCAAUGGGGGCAACCCUGACGCAGCCAUGCCGCGUGUGUGAAGAAGGCUCUAGGGUCGUAAAGCACUUUAAGCAGGGAGGAAAGGUUAAUGCUUAAUAAGUAUUAGCUGUGACGUUACCUGCAGAAUAAGCACCGGCUAACUCCGUGCCAGCAGCCGCGGUAAUACGGAGGGUGCAAGCGUUAAUCGGAAUUACUGGGCGUAAAGCGCGCGUAGGCGGUUUGUUAAGCGAGAUGUGAAAGCCCCGGGCUCAACCUGGGAACGGCAUUUCGAACUGGCAGGCUAGAGUACAAUAGAGGGUGGUAGAAUUUCCUGUGUAGCGGUGAAAUGCGUAGAUAUAGGAAGGAAUACCAGUGGCGAAGGCGGCCACCUGGAUUGAUACUGACGCUGAGGUGCGAAAGCGUGGGGAGCGAACAGGAUUAGAUACCCUGGUAGUCCACGCCGUAAACGAUGUCAACUAGCCGUAGGAAUCCUUGAGAUUUUUGUGGCGCAGCUAACGCGAUAAGUUGACCGCCUGGGGAGUACGGCCGCAAGGUUAAAACUCAAAGGAAUUGACGG
rnacentral:rRNA from 1 species